rnacentral:misc_RNA from 1 species
CCGAGGAAGACUACUACCGGCGCGAACAACCUCCCGGUAUCUUCCUUGGAGAGCUGCAAUCUCAGAAUUCCGAUCUGCACCGGGAACUGGGGAACCUUAAGAAAGAACUGGAAUUAACCAAUCAGAAACUGGGCUCCAGCAUGCAUAGCAUAAAGACCUUCUGGAGCCCUGAGCUGAAGAAGGAGCGGGCGUUGCGGAAGGAAGAGAGCGCCAAAUACAGCCUUAUAAACGACCAACUGAAACUGCUCAAUCAAGAAAAUCAGAAACAAGCUAUGCUGGUACGGCAACUAGAGGAAGAACUAAGAUUGCGCAUGAGACAACCCGCUCCUGAAUUACAACAACAACUGGAAGCCUUAUUCUCCGAGAACGAACACCUGCAAAGAGAGAUAGCCAUAUUGAGAGAUACAAUAAAGGAACUAGAAUUGAGGAUUGAAACACAGAAACAAACGCUCCAAGCCAGAGAUGAGAGCAUCAAAAAAUUACUCGAAAUGCUCCAAAACAAAGGGAUGGGUAAAGAAGAAGAACGCCAAAUGUUCCAACAGAUGCAAGCUAUGGCCCAAAAACAGGAGCUCAAGGCGACGGCGGACACGCUGCGGGCGCUGCAGGUGCAGCUGGAGCGCGCGCUGGCCGCGGCCGGCCUGCCGGGCGGCAGCGCGGGCGCCACGCUCACGGCGGUGCUCGAGACCAAGGAAGCGCGCAUCGCCACGCUCGAGCGGCAGGUCGCCUUGCUCGAAGGCGAGCUGGCCGCGCUCGUGUCGCCGCCGCCGCCCUCGCUCGCGCCCUCGCACGCCUCGCUUUACGAUAAGGCCGACCCUCCCUUCAAGAGACAACUGGACGAGUUCCGGUUGGAGAUCCAGCGGCGAGAUCAAGAGAUCCUGGCGAUGGCCGCCAAGAUGAAGGCCUUGGAGGAGCAGCACCAAGACUACCAGCGCCACAUCGCCGUGCUCAAAGAGUCGCUCUGCGCCAAAGAAGAACAUUACAGUAUGCUGCAGACCGACACAAAGAACUACUACCAUGCACAGGUGGAAGAACUGAAAGCCCGGUUGGAUGAGAAGAGUAGACUAGUGGAGAAGAAGACGGCGGCUGCGUUGUCAGCGACGCACGAGCUCGCUGAGCUCAGAGACCACUCCGAAAUCAAGGAUCGGAAGAUCAACGUGCUGCAACGAAAGAUCGAAAACUUAGAAGAUCUGUUAAAAGAAAAAGACAACCAGGUUGAUAUGGCUAGAGCUAGACUGAAUGCCAUGCAAGCUCACCACUGUUCUUCCGAAGGUGCGCUUUCCUCCCUAGAAGAAGUAAUAGGCGAUAAAGAGAAACAAAUUCAACAACUCAGAGAACAAAGAGAUCGAGCUGAACACGAAAAAAAUGAAGAACGAGAGUUACACGAAAGAGAAAUAGCUGAAUACAAGAUGAAACUCCAUGCCCUAGAGAGUGAGGUUGAAAAACUUGGUGCUAGACUCGAAAGAGCUCAAGCUGAGAAAGACCGACUUGAGGCUAAGUUAGAAAGUUCACAAUCAGAACUGGGCAAGUCCAAAGCAGAGUUAGACAAAGCAGCCAGCGAAGUCGGCAGGUCUGGGGCAGAUUGGGAAGCAGCAAAACAACGCUUAGCUAGACUCGAACUCGAAAACGAAAGACUUAAACACGAACUAGAACGGUCUCAAACAACAUUUGGCAGAAGCACUUUAACAACAUCACAGGAAUUAGACAGAGUGCAAGAGAAGGCUGAUAAGAGUGCUGCGGAGCUUAGACGAACUCUUGCUGAGUUAAGAGUGACUCAAGCUGAUGCAGAAAGAGCUAGAUCAGAAGCUAGUGGACUGCAAGACAAACUAGAAAAGUCCCAAGGUGAAGUUUACCGUCUUAAGGCCAAGCUUGAAAAUGCACAAACUGAACAAGACAGCCUGAAGGAAGAAUAUGAUCGGGUGCAAUCAUCAGUAAGUCGUCUGCAUUCUGAGCGUGAUAAGGCAGUGGCAGAGUUAGAUAAGGCUAGAGAAGAGCUAGAACGAACUCAGGCGACUCUAGGCAAGGCCCAACUACAACAGGACAAGCUUCAAGCCGCACUUGACGCUGCUCAUUCGGAGAUUGACAAACUUCAAGAGAAACUCGAUAAGGCUGCUGCUGAAGUUAGAAAGUGUCAAGUGGACCGCGAGAAGCAAGCAUACGACUUCGAGUCUCUGCAAUCACAACUGGACAAGGCUCUGGGAAUGUCAGCAAGGUUCGGCAAGGAGAGAGACACCGCGCAGAUAGAGGCCGAUAGAUUCCACGACAAGUAUGAGAAGUCACAGGCCCUAGUAGCUCGUAUACAAAAGGAACGCGAUGCAGCGCUAGCCGAAGCUGCCAGCUGUCGCGAGCGAGCCGAAGCUGCGGCCGCGGCAGCUAAUAGAGCAGCGAGGGACCGGGACAGUGCUACCACUGAGCUUGAUGUGCUGAGGGAACGAUGGGAGAAGGCGCAUCAACAGCACCAGAAGUUAACGAUGGAACGAGACGAUGCCGUAACCGAGCUAGAAAUAUUGAAAGAAAAGCUAGACAAAGCCCUCUAUUCCACACAGAAAACAAUCGAAGAAAAGGAGACUGCGCACAAAGAAUACGAAAAAAUGCUUGAGAAGUAUGACAGGUCACAAAACGAAAUCUACCGACUUCAGAACAAGAUAGAUAUUCUAGAAGCAGACAAAGAUCGCAUUGAAAUGGAAUUUGAAAAGCAUGCGCAUAUAGCAACAAAAGCAAGGGAAGAACAACGCAAAACGCAAGACGAACUCGCAAGAUUACAAGAAAUGUACGAUAGGGCGUCUCUCCAACUUGGUAGGACUAAAGAACAGGAAGAAAAAGCCAAGGAAGACAUGGAUAGGUUAAGUGUUGACAUCGAAAUGGUGCGAGAUCGUUACGAGAAGAGCCAAAUCGAACUCAGAAGGUAUCAGGCCGAAAAAGAGAAAUUAGUUGCGGAUAACGAACGUCUUCAAUUCGAAUAUGACAGGGCAAUGACGCAGUGCGGUAAAGCGCAGGCUUCCAAUGAAAAGACGCAAGAGGAAAUGGCCAGAGUGCAAGUAGAACUUGAAAAAAUGUAUGACAAGCAUGACAAGGUAGCCGCUGAACUGAGGAGAGUGCAAGCUGAACUUGAUAAGGUGAAGCAAGAUGCGAGUGGCGCGAGGGAAGAAGCUGAACGAUAUGCGGCCCGAUACGGAAAGUACCACGACACUAAAGAAGAACACGAGAGGACUAAAUUGGAGGUGGAACGACUGCGAGCACGGUUAGAGAAGACCACACUAGACCUGGAACGAGCGCGGAAGGCUGAGGAAGAAGCAUCCCGUCUACGUUCGGAGCUCGAACGCGUUGAAGCUGUCCGAGGUAAAUACCAAUUCGAACAGGACAAGUGGACUAACGAACUGAACAGAGUGCAGGCGGAGCUCGACAAACAACACGAGCGCUACGAAGCGGCGCAAGCAGACAUACAACGUCUGCAAGCCGAGAAGGAGCAAGCAGAGACCAAGCUACACGAGAUGAACAUCCAACUGGAACUGUCCAAGAGCGAAGUCACUAAACUCAGUGCAACGUUAGAAAAGCAGCGAACAGACCUAGAACGCGCUCAUAUUGAGUGCGAGAAAUUCAGAGACCGAUGCGAGAAACUCAAACUGAGGUCAGAACAACUGGAUAAGGACAACGAACGGCUUAAAGGAGAACUGCAACAGAUUGAGAGGAUGAAGCUCCAAGCGGUCGCCGGAGACAAAGCGAGGACCGAAGACAGGCUCGAAAUCGAGCGUCUUCGUGAUAAACUCGAGAAAGCAAUACAAGCUAGAGAUUCUACUGAAAUGGAGGCCGGCCGUUUGGCGAAGGAACUCGAAAAGUCUCAGAUGCAUCUUUCGAAAUAUCAGGAGACCAAUGAAUCGACUCGUGUUGAGUACGAAAGGAUGACGAACGAAUUAGGACGAAUGCACGAGCGUCUUGAACGAACUAUCUUGGAGAUGAGACAUGUUGAACAGGAACGAGAUCAGCUGUUACAAGAGAUACACAACAUGAGAUUCAAUGUGGACCAACAACAGCGAACAUUGGACCACCGCACGCAAGAGACUUUAGUGAAACUGCAGCAAGAGCUCGCUCAGUCCGUACGCGACAGAGAGAAGAUGGCGUCUAUACUAGAACAGAGAGACAAACAAGCAGACGCUAUAGAAAAGCAGAUCGUCAAACUAGAAGCCGAUACAAAGCAACUGACAAUAGAACGCGACCAACUAGUCGCCCAACUAGAAAAGUCUCAAGACAUGCUCGUAAACUUCCAACGGGAACUAAACGCUUCCGAGGCCGAAUUACAAAAACAACGCGAAGAAGUGCGCCGAGUGAAAGAAGAACAGCGUAAAAUGGCGCAAGACACGGGCGGCGCUAAAAGCGUCAUCGAAAGCCGGGACCGCGAAAUCGCUAAAUUGCAACAGCAAGUGCAAGCGGUUACUAAAGAGAAGGAUACAAUUAGACAACGAGCGGAAAAGGCUGAGAAGGAAGCGCAGAAAGUUGGGGAGAUUGAGAAGUGGAGGGCUGCGGUCGAGCAGGAGAAGUCGAAGGCUAUUGCUGCGGAGAGGGCUCUGGCGGAGUGUCAGCAGCGGUUGCAGAGUGUGGAGAAGCAGUUGGCGGCGGCGCUGGCUGCGUCGGGCGGCGCGGCGCGGGGCGGCGAGGCGCUGGCGGCGGCGCAGGCGGAGGCGCGGGCGCACGCGGUGGAGCGCGAGCGCUGCCAGGCGCAGCUCGAGAUGCUCGUGCAGGAAUUGGAGAAGAGUCAGCUCGAUCUUCGAGAAGCGACGAAGAAGCUUCAAGCGGCGGGCGCGCAAAACGCCAAAGCUGGGGAAGACACAGCCCAAGCUAAGAAGCAACUGCAAGAGGAAUUUAAGAAAUUGGACGACGCGAGGAGACAGUUCGAGGAGCAGAGAAGAACAGUGGAGAAUAAACGGAAAGACGUGGAAGAAAAGGAGAAAGCGCUGGCAGAGUUAGAUCGACAGUUGAAGAAGAGGAAAGAGCAAAUGGACCAAAUGGAAGCAUCUUUGAGGAAGGCCGGCGGCAGCACAGCAGCGGUAUCAGACUUGAACCGCAAACUCUCAGACUCGCAGAAGGACGCAGACCAACUGAAGCAGCAACUCGACCAAACCAAGGAGGAGGCGCAGCGCCUCACGGCCGAGACCGAGCGCCUGCUGCAGCUCGUGCAGAUGUCGCAGGAGGAGCAGGCGCAGAAGGAGAAGCAGAUCAUCGACCUGCAACAGUCUGUUAGAAAUCUUCAAGCCAAACUGAAAAGUCAGCAGCAAGCACAAGCACAAAGAGAAGAGGCCGGACCCGCUGGCUUCCUCAAAAGCUUUUUCUAAGUUAGUCCUUCGCACCAAGACUGUCGUUCAUUUAUUUGCUCUUUUUAUUUAAACGUUUUUCUUUAACUGUCGUUCUAACGUCGCAAGACAUCCAUUCCACGUCUUUCGGUAAUAUCACUCGUAAGCUUUACAAAACGCAAUUUCGUAUUAAGUAAUGUUAUCGAUAUUUAUAUUGAAUAUUUAUAACAAAGUGUUCAGAUAAUAAUAUUGAUCUCUUGUUGAACUCCGGUCCGUACGGGUCUCCUCGCUCGUACCAUGUAACUGCACACAAUAACGAUAAUUAUUAGUUUAGCGAUAAUUUAAGUGAUGUUUAAAAACAAAUAAAUAAUCGUGGUGUUCAGCGGGAAUUAUUUUUUAAGUAAUAAAAAAUAACAAUAUUGUAAAACUGUUAAGUAAACAUGUAUCUAGAUAGAUCGAGUAAGUUGUCCACUAGUCGAUGUUACCCAGCUUUCAAUCUUGUUAUGCAAAAUAUCAAUUAACUAUAAAUAAAACGAAAUCUAUGUUGACCUUUCUCGAGUUAUUUUUGAGUUUAUAUUGUUGAUGAGAAUUUUGUUGUUGAAGUAAAACUUAUUCGUUUUUAUUGAUUUUUGUUUUGUUUGUUAUUUAUUUUGAUGUUUGGACCCCACACGGUAGGAUCUGACGCGCGCGAGACAGAGCGAGCUCGCCGCCAUGACAGACCUACAGACCACGCUGGCGCAGAAAGACCUACUCGCUACUAAGUUGGAAGAGAGCAAAAUGAAAGUCAUAGAUCUAGAGAUCGAGCUCAAUGAAUCAUCGCUUAUAUUAUCAGAAGUGCUUAAAAUGCCAGACGGGCCAGAUAUGAAUAACAUUAAAAGAAGUAAAAGCUUUUUCGAGUUGCAAAAGAGUGGUAAGGUAGUGGAUAGGCUUGACAAGUGCAAAUAUAGCAGGAGUGAUAAUGACUUAGACAAAAUGCACUAUAAAGACAAGAAGAAAGAACCACCGGACUUGAGUAAGUUGACGAGAAAGAUAUUUGAUUUGACGAAGGAGAUUGGUAUAAAGAAUUCUAAGUUGAUAGAACAGCAAAGAUGUAUUUCAAUAUUAGAAGAGGCGUUGAGAGAAAAUAACAAUAUAGCAGAAUUUGAACAGUUACUUGCAGUCGUAAGGAGUAAAGAUGAAAGAAUCAAUGAGUUAGAAAAGUUUGUGAAUAAGAAAUGUGGCUCAAGCCCAAGUGACUGUAAAGAUAAGAAAAGAAUAUUAGAACUAGAGGAAGCUUUGAAGGAAUCGGUUUUGAUAGCGGCAGAGAGAGAGAAAGUAUUCUAUGAAGAAGAACAGAGAAGAAUUGAAACAUUAAGAAAGAUGGGCAAAAUGGAACAACGCAUUCGUUCCCUUCAGAACGCUUCAGCACUGAACUGCGGAACUUGCUCGUCAGUGCUGAAGCGCUUGAAGCGGCUGGAAGACGCACUGCAACACUGCCAAGCUAACAGGGACCAUAUAUUGCGACAACUAUCGCAUCUCGUUCAAGACGUGCUGGAAGGUGCAAUUAGCGAGAAAGAUACCCAGAUAGCCGAGCUGGAAGUGAAGGGAGUACUCGACGAGAGCGAUACCAACCGAUACGAUACGCUCAAGGAAGAGCGGGACAGACUGCUCAAUAGGCUUAAGACAGAGAACGAGCGAAUCCUAAAACUGGAGCAAUACAGCGAGCCAUCGCCGCCCUCCCCCGGCACCCUGCCGGUCGACAUCACAGUGACCGACGAGCUGCUACAAGCCUGCGACGACAAUGAGGAGGACAUCCCCGCAACAGUGCUCUAACGACAAACGCAGCUAAGUCAAAACGUAAAUCUGUUUGUGGCCUUAGCCAUCAUCACCGCACUAGUCACCCAUCACCGCUACCUUACCAACUCAUCAUCGCUUAUCACAGCAUUCUGCCAAAUAAAAAAAAAAUCUUCAAUAAAAAACGCCCGCUUGCAACAACUUCUGAAUCUAAACCGAAUUUUAUACCAAAGAUGUUAAUUUUUCUGUAAAUAAAUUAAGUUUUUUUUAUUUGUUA